rnacentral:rRNA from 1 species
AGUGAACGCUGGCGGUAGGCCUAACACAUGCAAGUCGAACGGCAGCACAGGAGAGCUUGCUCUCUGGGUGGCGAGUGGCGGACGGGUGAGGAAUACAUCGGAAUCUACCUUGUCGUGGGGGAUAACGUAGGGAAACUUACGCUAAUACCGCAUACGACCUUCGGGUGAAAGUGGGGGACCUGCAAGGCCUCACGCGAUUAGAUGAGCCGAUGUCGGAUUAGCUAGUUGGCGGGGUAAAAGCCCACCAAGGCGACGAUCCGUAGCUGGUCUGAGAGGAUGAUCAGCCACACUGGAACUGAGACACGGUCCAGACUCCUACGGGAGGCAGCAGUGGGGAAUAUUGGACAAUGGGCGCAAGCCUGAUCCAGCCAUACCGCGUGGGUGAAGAAGGCCUUCGGGUUGUAAAGCCCUUUUGUUGGGAAAGCAAAUCUUGCCAGGUUAAUACCUGGCGAGCGAUGACGGUACCCAAAGAAUAAGCACCGGCUAACUUCGUGCCAGCAGCCGCGGUAAUACGAAGGGUGCAAGCGUUACUCGGAAUUACUGGGCGUAAAGCGUGCGUAGGUGGUGGUUUAAGUCUGCUGUGAAAGCCCUGGGCUCAACCUGGGAAUUGCAGUGGAUACUGGGUCACUAGAGUGUGGUAGAGGGAUGCGGAAUUUCCGGUGUAGCAGUGAAAUGCGUAGAGAUCGGAAGGAACAUCCGUGGCGAAGGCGGCAUCCUGGGCCAACACUGACACUGAGGCACGAAAGCGUGGGGA